UGGGGAAUAUUGCACAAUGGAGGGAACUCUGAUGCAGCGACGCCGCGUGAUUUAGAAGGCCUUCGGGUUGUAAAAAUCUUUUGUAUGGGAAGAAAAUGACAGUACCAUACGAAUAAGGACCGGCUAAUUACGUGCCAGCAGCCGCGGUAAUACGUAAGGUCCGAGCGUUGUCCGGAAUCAUUGGGCGUAAAGGGUACGUAGGCGGAUAAGCAAGUUAGAAGUGAAAUCCUAUAGCUCAACUAUAGUAAGCUUUUAAAACUGCUCAUCUUGAGGUAUGGAAGGGAAAGUGGAAUUCCUAGUGUAGCGGUGAAAUGCGCAGAUAUUAGGAGGAAUACCGGUGGCGAAGGCGACUUUCUGGCCAUAUACUGACGCUGAGGUACGAAAGCGUGGGUAGCAAACAGG
rnacentral:rRNA from 1 species